rnacentral:tRNA from 1 species
UGGGGUUGUGGCUUGGUGGUAGAGUGCUUGCCUAGCAUGUGUGAGGCACUGUGUUUGAUCCUCAGCACCACAA